CCCACAUACAAAGUAGAGGAAGAUGGGCACAGAUGUUAGCUCAGGGCCAGUCUUCCUCAGCAAAAAGAGGAGGAUGGGCAGAUGUUAGCUCAAGGCUGAUCUUCCUCAAAAAAAAAAAGGGCCCAGCCCAGGAGGGGCAAGGCUCCAUUGGGUCACACAGUGAGUGCCAGGCCAGGACUGGAAUCCAGGCCUUGGGUUUCCCAGCCUAGAACCGCCCGAGGCCAGGAGGGGCUGAGUCCUCAGGAAAAGGGAGCUGUCUUCCCUACACAGAAUUCCCUUGGAAUCCUUCGCAGUGGCCCAGGCUGCCCUCGGCCCCAGGCUUCAUGUGGUCGCUCUUCCUAAGGCCCAGCCUCCUGGGAGACCUGGCUGCAGAGAGUCCCGCUGAACUGGCAUGCCGGGGUGGCUGCCUCAGCUCUCUCUGACACUGGGCAGUUUGCUCGCGGUGUCUGAACACUGGUUUCCCCAUCUGUCAGGCAGGAGUAGUUCCUGCCUGUGGGCGCCCCGAGCCAUUGGGAGGGUAAGUGGGCAAACAGAGAGGGCCUGGGAGGUCGGGAGAGUCUCCCCGAGUCAUGCAGCAUCUCCACACGGUCCAGCCUCUGGAGCCUGCUGUCCCAGGACUGUCUGUCUCUCAGGAGGAGCUCAUUUGGGGGGAAGAGACAGAGCAGUUGGGAAGCUGCCCAGCAAGGGCAGGGGCUUUCAGUCACCCCGCUUAAACUGUGCCACCCACCCACCCAAGCCUGACCAUGGGCGAGCAAGUCAGGGUCCCCUUGUUCCCACACUUCCCCAAGAACCUCUCCUCAGGGUAGACGACAGCUAUGAGCACUUAGUGUUGCCUGGCUCUGUGCUCACUCCUCUACUCAAGGCCCCGGGAAACAUGUAUCAUUACCCCGUUCAACCCCGAAGGUUGGAGAGUUAGGUUGCUCACCCAAGAUCACCCAGUGAACAACUGGGGAUCUGAAAUUCCUACUAGGCCUGACUCCAACACCUGUGUUCUCCGCUGCACGGGCAGAGAGCUUGUCAUGGAGCCCCUGGGACCACGUGGCCGGCAAAUCAGGACAAGUGGGAGGGAAGUUGGCACUAUGUUCAUCACAACAUAGAGAACAGCAGCAAGCCGCUGAAGAUGGGGCUCUUUCCUACAAAGGCCACUAGGGGGAAAUGUGAACCCCCAACCGGGAGCCUGGAGAUGGGCUGGGGCAGGGCUUACACCCAGGAGAGAGCUCGGGAAAGCUAAUUAAAACUUUUUAGUAGGGUUUACAACCAAUAUCUUUUAAAUUUACUACCUUUUCUCUUCUUUUUUUUAAUACUGUUUUCUCUCUGCUUGUUGAUAGACACAUUAUAGGCAUGGGUGGGAGAAACAAGCCAUGCAGCUGUCUGGAGGAAGACCGUGCCAGGCCAAGGGAACAGCCAUUGCGAAGGCUGGUGGUGGCAGCGUGCUGUGCACCCUGGAGGAACAGCAAAGUGUCAGCUGCAGGGGAAGGAAUAAGGGAGAGAGUGGCCGGGGCCUUGAGACCAUGGAAGGCUUAGGGCAGAGGAGGGAAUGAUCAGAUCUGGCUCAUCUCUUGGAAGGAUCACUCCAGCUGCCGUGUUGAGACUAGACUGUAGGCCCAGGCCUGCGUUUCUCCCUGGAUAUCCCACAAGCACGUCGGAUCUGUGCGCCUGACCUCUAGACUGUCUCCUGGUGUCUCCACCACCUCGCCAGCCUCCCCCUUAGGAGUUCAUCUUCUCUCUGAUGCCUCCUGACCGGGGCCAGAGGCCAGAGCCAAGGUGGGGAAUGUGGGGGUGGGGAGGGCAGGAGCGCAUUCUUGCUGGCCUGGCAGGGCUGUUCUGGGGCCUGCUGUGACUCCAAUCUGAGGAAUCCUCCUUAUCAGCCAUCGGAGUUUGGUUGGGUCCCUGGAUGCUCAGCCCUGCAUUUAUGGCCUUAUCUGUGUGCUUGGGUGUGCCUGGCUCUGAGCUGUGUAUCUUCUCUCUCAACCCCUGACCUGGCCUCUGAGCCUCCAGCCCCUACUCACCCAGGCCCCCACUAGGCCCAGAGCAUCCCCUCCAGGAGCCCCUGCACAGCCCCUCCAGCCCCUCGCCCCUUGGCUCCUGAUCACAGACACAAGGGAGACCGUGAGCUCUGGCAAACCCUCCCCGGCCUCGCUCCACCACAGCACCACGCUGAUGGCCAAGCCGAGACCUGAAGCCUCUCACCACUCCAAGCCUCGUCCCCAUCUUACAGAUGAAGAAACUGAGGCCCAGAGAGGUUCAAGAACAUGCCAAAUCUCAGUGGGGAGGGGGGCGCUUGAGUGUUUUUUGUUUAUUUGGGGGCCGUUUUGUUUUUUGAGUGUUUUAUUGUUAGUUUAACUGUAUGUGUAUGUUAUACACACACGUUGACAGAAUAUAUUUCACAAUUUAAAAAUCAAACAAAAACUAGCCAAGAUCCUAUCAAUAAGCACAAGAAUCCCUACCCUCUCCCCGUUCUGCGCCAGUCUCCCCAGGCCUCAGUUUCCUUGGAUGUAAGUUGGCCGUGGUCAUAUGAGAGAAUGUCGAGUGAUAACAGCAAGCCCACACCCCCCCGUGCCAGGCAUAGCUCAUGUCGUCACCCGGCAGCCCGGUGAGGUGGCAGCUCUUACUGUCCUGUCUUACCUAAGGUCAUACAGCUAGGAGGUGGCAGAGCCGGUAUUUGGAUCCAGGCGGGCUGGCCUCGCCUGUGCUCUUGGAUGGCACAGUAGGGGCCCUGCGGCACGCAGGGGACUGGGGUCACCUGUUCCCACUUCAGGUUCAGCACAGAGGCGAGUGGGAGCCAAGGUCGGGCUGCUCAGCUCUGAGGGGCCACCCAGGGCAUCAGCACCCCGGCCUGGCCUGUGAUGGCUGCUCCCACCUCUUCCUGGUCUGCAGGACCCCCUCUGAGGGAGGAGACAGUGAGGCCAGCCAGGGGCACUGUCUGUGGGUGCCUGGCUCUCUGAGGCCCUGAGUUGGGGUGGGAGAGCAGGCAGGACGGGGAGCAAGGGGCUUUCCCAAAGCCAGAACCACUAGGCUGAGGACCAAACCUGAACUGCAGAGCCCAGGAGGGGCCAGGCCUGGGGCUGGGAGUCGUUCCUGCCCCACCAUUGUCCCAACCACAGCCUCAGCUCGGGUGGGAAGUCGGGGGGACUGGGGUCAUGACAUGAGGCUUCGAAGUGCUGGAAGAAGUCAGAGCUGGGGGUACCCCAGGCACCAACAGAUCCAAUCCUCAUUGUACAGAUAGGGAAACUGAGGCCCAGACAGGGGAGGGGUCCUGUCCAGGUCACACAGCCAGUCCCUGCUGGACCUGGGACUGGGAGAAUGGGAGAGGAGCAAGGCCUCCCAUGGCUCACAUCCCAGCCUGGCUCCCAGAGCCGCA